CUGGCUCAGAACGAACGCUGGCGGCGCGUUUAAGCAUGCAAGUCGAGCGGCAAGGGCCUUCGGGCCCCUAGAGCGGCGGACGGGUGAGUAACACGUGGACAAUCUGCCCCCCGGCCCGGGAUAGCCCAGGGAAACCUGGAUUAAUACCGGAUGAGACGGGACCCGCGAUGGCGGGAUCCGGGAAAGGCGCUGCGGCGCCGCCGGGGGAUGAGUCUGCGUCCCAUUAGCUAGACGGCGGGGUAACGGCCCACCGUGGCGACGAUGGGUAGCCGGCCUGAGAGGGUGGACGGCCACAUUGGAACUGAGACACGGCCCAAACUCCUACGGGAGGCAGCAGUAGGGAAUCUUCCGCAAUGGACGAAAGUCUGACGGAGCAACGCCGCGUGAGUGAAGAAAGGUUUUCGGAUCGUAAAUCUCUGUUGUCAGAGAAGAACAAGUUGGAGAGUAACUGCUCCAGCCUUGACGGUAUCUGACCAGAAAGCCACGGCUAACUACGUGCCAGCCGCCGC
rnacentral:rRNA from 1 species